CAGUAGCCGCGGGAUUACAGAGGGUGCGAGCGUUAAUCGGAUUUACUGGGCGUAAAGCGUGCGUAGGCGGCUUUUUAAGUCGGAUGUGAAAUCCCUGAGCUUAACUUAGGAAUUGCAUUCGAUACUGGGAAGCUAGAGUAUGGGAGAGGAUGGUAGAAUUCCAGGUGUAGCGGUGAAAUGCGUAGAGAUCUGGAGGAAUACCGAUGGCGAAGGCAGCCAUCUGGCCUAAUACUGACGCUGAGGUACGAAAGCAUGGGGAGCAAACAGGAUUAGAUACCCGGGUAGUCCCUGUCUCUUAUAC
rnacentral:rRNA from 1 species